AGUGAACGCUGGCGGCAGGCCUAAUACAUGCAAGUCGAACGGCAGCACAGCAGAGCUUGCUCUGUGGGUGGCGAGUGGCGGACGGGUGAGGAAUACGUGGGAAUCUGCCCAGUCGUGGGGAUAACGUAGGGAAACUUACGCUAAUACCGCAUGCGCCCUUCGGGGGAAAGCCGGGGACCUUCGGGCCUGGCGCGAUUGGAUGAGCCCAGUCGGAUUAGCUAGUUGGCGGGUAAAGGCCACCAAGGCGACGAUCCGUAGCUGGUCUGAGAGGAUGAUCAGCCACACUGGAACUGAGACACGGUCCAGACUCCUACGGGAGCAGCAGUAGGGAAUAUUGGACAAUGGGCGCAAGCCUGAUCCAGCCAUGCCGCGUGAGUGAAGAAGGCCCUCGGGUGUAAAGCUCUUUUGUCCGGAAAGAAAAGCGCCGGGUUAAUACCCUGGUGUCCUGACGGUA
rnacentral:rRNA from 1 species